GAACACGCGAGCAGACAAAUCAGAGCCGACCCUGCAGGGGUGGACACGUCAGCCUGUUUGGAUGCUGGUUACUGCAGGACUCCAGGUGGCAGUAGGAAAUACAGUCAAGAAGGUACUCCUGGAUAAGUGCUUCAUGUUCAGCUGGCUCACACUGAUGGCUGCUCAUACUGAGCACAGUUUUGUUGAAGGAUCCUCUUGUUGAAAGGAAGUGAUUCCUCUCCACUGUCGUCACAUUCUUGAAUGAUGGAUUGCUACAAAGUCAAGAAC